rnacentral:rRNA from 1 species
UACGUAGGGUGCGAGCGUUAAUCGGAAUUACUGGGCGUAAAGCGUGCGCAGGCGGCUUCGCAAGUCAGACGUGAAAUCCCCCGGGCUUAACCUGGGAAUGGCGUUUGAAACUACGGAGCUGGAGUAUGGCAGAGGGGGGUGGAAUUCCACGUGUAGCGGUGAAAUGCGCAGAUAUCAGGAGGAACACCAAUAGCGAAGGCAGCUCGCUGGGACGGUACUGACGCUGAGGCGCGAAAGCGUGGGGAGCAAACAGG